CGCCAUUUUCGUCUGUCCAAUUUCUUGUUUGUGCUUGACCCCACGUCUACAGCUUGUUUGACCUACAGAAAGAUUUAUACUCGGUAUUUUUGAUCUGGUUUUUUUUUUCUAAUGACUUCCUCGACAUAAGCAACUGCAGAUCUAAACUCUCGGACGGUGAAACAUGUGAUCCAGGCUGUACAUUUUUGUGGGAUAGUCGUGAUCUGGUCGUCCGUUUUCUUCUGUCUACCGGAUUUCUUUACCAUUAUAUGUCCUAUACCGUUUGAGGGAGUUCUGGCUGUGGUUGCAGGACGUCUGGUUAGUGAGCAGGCGUCAGACCCAGACAAAGGGGUCCCUUCUCAACAGCAUUCGAAUGAACAUCUGACGCACCCGCAAGGGUCAAUGUGCACAUACAGUACACUGGGACUACUGUUGACAGACUUUUGGCGUCUCGUGUGAAUGAUUGGGCUGUUUGGUCCCUUGCCGCGGAUUUCCAGUGCGUGCGAACAGCGAGACGCGCUGCAAGCAGAGUCUGGCGACAAACGGAGGCCUGAUUGCAGGAGUGGCACAAAUUGCAGGAUUAGCAGCUGUAUGGUGACAGGACCGUCAACCGCUUCGCCUACAUCUGGUUCUAGGUAUGUCGCGCCCCAGGAUAAUAAUUGGCGGUGGCAGCAACAAACAAGGCAAGGUCAGCUCUCUGGCUUUUCCUCCACGCCAGCAACGCAACCUGAUACUGAGAUGCAAGGAGAAAUGCUUGUAUUAGGUACAUGUUCUUCCAACCGUUUCUAAGGUUUUCUCCCUCAUCUGGGAGGAGGGUACACUUUCGCCGGGUAACAGCAAUAGCCUAUUUGAGCCCAUAUCUUCCAAACUAAGAUGAAUAAAGUGAAGAUAGAGACCGAACACCUUCUGUCGAAUCAGCACCCCGAUGCAUAUCACGAAUAGCGACUUGCCGACGAGUGGGCGUCUCUUGAAUGGUUCAGGCCAUACAAUAUGCGCGGAGGAGGACCUAUUGAUAAACUAUUAUUACUCCAUGCGACGAGCCACAGUUGCCUUAUCGCAAUUGAAGGCCAAACGAUCGGUGGAGAUUACCCAGAAUUAUUGUGAUUACCAGUGAGAGGCCUGCUACCGGCUGGGUGUGUUUGCUUGCCCAAGGUAGACCCACCCGGAAGAUGGUCCGCGCAAGUUACCCCUACCCCUGGGGAAAGUAUACAAACUUGGGCAUGACAAGAAGGGCAAGCCGGCUUUAGAUGCAGGAAUCGCCCUAUGCUACGACAACGGAUCAGUUCACUUCGGUGCAAACUCCGCACUGGUGUCGUCUGCUACAAACUGACGAACGUUUGGCGGGUGAAAUCUACACCCAGGAAAUGAGCGCAAGCAUCAAUUAUCACCACAGCAGAAGGUUACGCUAUGCCGGCAAGCGGGUACAGAGCUAGUGACGCCACAGAGCCACCAGGUGCGGGGGAAAAAACAGAAAAAACUGCACGCUUGUUGCUCCUUCAUCAACACCCUUCUCCAAACAUUCAACCCAUCCUUUUCCGCCCCUUCCAGCCCUCCCGACAUGGCUCCAACAUGUUCCGACAUGUGCACAAAUACGAGAAGUGGUCGCAAAACUUGUCGUUCCACACGAAGAAGAAAUCAAAUUCUCCAGACAAACACUUUUCCACUCCCGAGUGCCCGCUCAGACGGAAGGUUUGCGCAGUAGUCUGCGCAGGCCCGCGCGCAGUCGAGCAGAGAGAAGAGAAAUACACAGGUGACUGUUUGUGUAUGUUGAGCACGUGCGACCCCGACUUUAAAAAAAAGAUUGAAUUCAAACAGGGAACUAAAAAUAAUCUUCAACAUUUUCUCGGCUUCUUUUUUGCCUCUGUCCCUCUUAUCCCUCUCCUGUCUGUCAGUCGGAUUGUUGGUCGAUCUGUCCGAUCAUAAGUAGAUUUGUACGUCGCUGUUUGACAAUUCUACUACAUAUUGUCUCGUGAUCGUUGUUAAAGGUGAUAACUGUUGGUCAUUUAAAUUCGAAAUUAGCUCGCAGGCCAUAAAAUUUAUCAAGCACCCAGUUCAAAGAAAAAAAUAUCCUCUAUUUCUUGUCCAUUGCUGUAUAGAAAAGAGCGAGCGGACUGGACAAUGCUCGGGUAGAGAGGUGAGGCGAGAUGUGGUGCUUGAUAAAGGAAAAUAUAAUUAUCUUAACAAAUGAACACAUGGUGUUUCACUGGUCACAGAGGUGUUUUUCACCCUGUUUUCAAGAAGAGAUCCGAGUGUAAGCAUGCGAACAAUAAUUGCAGAAUUGGCGUGAUACAUUUGCCGUGCAUGAGCGCGUGUCUGCUGACUGCUGCGCGCUCAGCUGAUUAAACGAGUGAAAGCACACAAUUUCUUAAGUAACGCCGGACGUGUGAUUGGAAGAAGAGGAGAUUCUGGGGGUAGUUACUGACUAUUUUUGUUAUCACAGACGUGUAGUUCUGACAGAAUUAAAAGGCCC